GAAACAACAAUGCAGUGCAUUUGCCCAUAUUCCUCUUUCGUCGCGCAGCCCGUUAGUAUAGCGCUGUUAACAAAUUUCACUUUACAUCUGCCUAUCUUGCGUUAUUGUUGUUGCUACUCUUCACACACAGAGCCUGUUGCACACCGAAAGUCAAGCAACCCCCAGGCCGACCGUUCAAAAGCAUAGCAAUGGGAUGUGACUUUGUGGGCUCGUCGGUCGACAUUGGCGGCAAUGCAUUGCCAGUCGCAUUUUUACGGUUGAAGCGGUAAGAACUCUUGUGCAAGCAGUUUGGAGAGAAAAUAAAUACUGAGCAUGUUAUGGAAACGUUUGGUCUUGAUUGGGCACUCGCAGUGGAGGCUAGCGGAUCCAUGUUCAAAUUUGCUGAGCUACAAAAGAGCAUAAUAUAAAUCUUACAUAAUUAUCGAAAAUGUGAACGUUUUGAGGAAUUGCUUUUUGGAAGAAGUCAAUGCAGGGUCCAGCUUUGCCGUCGGCAUAAUAUGGUUUUCAUGCUAUGUGUCCUGAUUCGUUAUACAAGUAACGAAGGGCACCGGAACACUGCAGUGGAAAAUGAAACAGUGAAAUAUGCAUUCGGUUUCAAAAAGUUCGGGCUAAACGCUAUUACGAAUGGAAUAUUAUUUUACUAUACAAAUAUGUGUUUUUAGUGAUUUUGAAAUUUUUGUGCCAUACUAGAGUCAAAGAGUAUGAUUGUGAUAAAUAAAAUCAUUUUGGAAGGUUAUAGCAAAGUUGUGAGCUUACAGUAAAAUGCAAAGACUCUGUAUUGCAAUCAAAUCAAUAACUUAUUCGAAAAUAAUUAAGUUGAUAUAUAAUAAAAUCCCGCUCAACAUUUUUUUGCAAAGAUAAAAAAAUGUGUUAAAAUUAUUUUCUAUUUCAGGCAUCUUUUUAAAAAUAAAUCAAUAGAAUCUUUG
rnacentral:lncRNA from 1 species